CGUAAACAGGAGGGAGGCGAAGGAGCGAUCCGGAGCAAACCCAGAAAUAACGUCCCAGUUCGGAUUGCAGGCUGCAACCCGCCUGCAUGAAGCUGGAAUCGCUAGUAAUCGCGGGUCAGAAUGCCGCGGUGAAUACGUUCCCGGGUCUUGUACACACCGCCCGUCACACCAUGGGAGUCGGAAAUGCCCGAAGUCAGUGACCCAACCGGAAGGAAGGAGCUGCCGAAGGUGGAGCCGGUAACUGGGGUGAAGUCGUAACAAGGUACC
rnacentral:rRNA from 1 species